AUGGGGGUUGUUCCAUCUGAAGUCCGUGUUUCUUGGGUCGUAAGUCACACAGUGCUGACCGGGUGGACAGAAUCAGGCUGGACAGAUGAUAGUGAUUCGGCUUUAGAGUUCACUCGAGCUCAUGUUCUUGUUUCUUCAGAGAGUUGGAUGGAUAACGUUGAGUGUGUUGUUGAGCUGGACGGCAGGAUGAUCUCCAAGUCUCUGAAAAGAGGUUCAGAUUUGAGCUGUACAUGGUUGGUGUAUUUGGGCUUCGGUACAGCAUUUCUCAUCAUCCUUGCGACUGUCAUUGUUGCUGUUUCUUCACUCACAGCAAGACGAGACAAACUGACUUUGAGAUCUGGUGGUUCGGAAUCUCGCUUCAGGCGUCAAAAUGGUAAACGAGGAACACACACUGUGGAGGGAUCGUGCAUAACGGAAAUGCAAUAUGCAAGUGUGGACCUGAUCAGGAUCGGACAGGGCAGCAGUACUGUUCUAAGCCGGACUAGUUGAAGUCUUGUUUGUUGUUUUUUCAGUUGUUUAUUUAAGGCUUUUGAGAGUGUGAGUAAGUGAGUGGACAAGCAUGUGAGAUUAAAUAAACACUGAUUGUGUACUGAAAAUGAUCGAUUAAUCUCAUGUUUACACUUUUAGUUUUUUCUGAAGCUCUUGCAUUGAGGACCAUUCUGUACGUACAGAACACACACAGGUGAGCAAAAACACCACCUAGCUUAAUAAUAACAUUAGGUAAAAAAACACAAAGACAGAAGCAGAUAGAUAUAAAGAGGUAACAAAAAUGAUGAAGCAUGUUUAGCC
ensembl:lncRNA